rfam:Moraxella bovoculi 237 MBO_237Contig26, whole genome shotgun sequence.
GUGGGUAUAGCUCAGUUGGUAGAGCCCCGGAUUGUGAUUCCGGUUGUCGUGGGUUCAAGUCCCAUUACUCACC